GGGGUGUGUCUUCACAUGUGACGCCGUUGGAUUCUAUGAAAUGGUUGGAUAUAGUUAACAAGGUUUUGGUUCUACCUUGAUCAUGCCUUUCUUGGACAACCAGCUAAAGUCUCCUAGCUCUCGCUUAUUACUUGCAAAGUAUGUUGUUACGACCUGGCAAAGACAUGUUUUACUUCUGCAACAGAAAGAGAUAUCUACACUGAUGACAAGCUGGAAAUUUUUGUCUUGAAUGCUGAGGGAACUCGAUGUGAAUGUAUGGAACUGAGGAAGGAUUGACGUGUUGUUGUAGUUUGCUGGAUCUAUGGGUUGCCACAAGUGUGGAAUGCUCGUAGCAUAAUUCGAGAGCUUUAAUUUGGAUGUUGGCUUGGGCUGUGUUCCAUGGUUCUUAGUUAUCAACCCUUGGAUUUGAAUUCUAUGAAGAUAGACGCGGGGCAUGAAGCUGAUAUUUUGUUACCCAUUUCCAAGUUUUAUUUUCUUUGUUAAAUUUUUAUACAUCUAUGUUUGUCUUUAAACUAUGGCAUACCAAAUACCCACUUUGCUAUUCAGUU